rnacentral:rRNA from 1 species
GACAGAGGAUGCAAGCGUUAUCCGGAAUGAUUGGGCGUAAAGCGCGUGUAGGCGGCUAGGUAGGUCCGUUGUGAAAACUCGAGGCUCAACCUCGAGACGUCGAUGGAAACCAUCUAGCUAGAGUCCGGAAGAGGAGAGUGGAAUUCCUGGUGUAGCGGUGAAAUGCGCAGAUAUCAGGAAGAACACCAGUGGCGAAGGCGGCACCCUGGGCCAGUACUGACGCUGAGACGCGAAAGCGUGGGGAGCGAACAGG